GAAUAGCAACCUUUAAGUUUGGGGUAGCUUUGCAGUAAGUGAAUGUAGUAAAAAAAAAAAAAGCAAAAGCUUGUGAUCCGAAAAAAAAAAAAAGAAAAAGAAAAGCGAAAAACAAUAAAAGAACAGCUUUUGAAAAAUGCUACAUUCACUAUAGAUAAAAGGAAAAGAGGAAUACAAAACCCAACAGGAAGAAUAGGAAAGAAACGUAGUGAGAGAAUGAUUUCAUGUACUCUGAACCAAAAACCUUUGUUCCAAUUUCAUACCCCACCUAAACCAAAGCCCCGUUACAACCCAAGACCUCAAAAAGUGUGUGUGAUUGUACAUGUUGAUAGGAUGAGAGAAUUUAUUCAAACUUCUG
rnacentral:lncRNA from 1 species